rnacentral:rRNA from 1 species
AGAGUUUGAUCCUGGCUCAGGACGAACGCUGGCGGCGUGCUUAACACAUGCAAGUCGAGCGAUGAAGCACCUUCGGGUGUGAAUUAGCGGCGAACGGGUGAGGAACACGUGAAGAAUCUGCCUUCAACUCUGGGAUAACUCCGGGAAACCGGGGCUAAUACCGGAUAUGAGCCUUGAUCGCAUGAUCGGGGCUGGAAAGUUUUUCGGUUGAAGAUGACUUCGCGGCCUAUCAGCUUGUUGGUGAGGUAAUGGCUCACCAAGGCGACGACGGGUAGCCGGCCUGAGAGGGCGACCGGCCACACUGGGACUGAGACACGGCCCAGACUCCUACGGGAGGCAGCAGUGGGGAAUAUUGGGCAAUGGAGGAAACUCUGACCCAGCGACGCCGCGUGAGGGAUGAAGGCCUUCGGGUUGUAAACCUCUUUCAGUAGGGAAGAAGCGAAAGUGACGGUACCUACAGAAGGAGCACCGGCUAACUAUGUGCCAGCAGCCGCGGUAAUACAUAGGGUGCAAGCGUUGUCCGGAAUUAUUGGGCGUAAAGAGCUCGUAGGUGGUUCGAUACGUCGGAUGUGAAAAUCAGGGGCUCAACCCCUGACCUGCAUCCGAUACGGUCGAGCUAGAGUUUGGUAGGGGAGACUGGAAUUCCUGGUGUAGCGGUGGAAUGCGCAGAUAUCAGGAGGAACACCGAUGGCGAAGGCAGGUCUCUGGGCCAAUACUGACACUGAGGAGCGAAAGCGUGGGGAGCGAACAGGAUUAGAUACCCUGGUAGUCCACGCCGUAAACGGUGGGCGCUAGUUGUGCGAACCUUCCACGGUUUGUGCGACGCAGCUAACGCAUUAAGCGCCCCGCCUGGGGAGUACGAUCGCAAGAUUAAAACUCAAAGGAAUUGACGG